AGCAUUGCUGGCUGCUAUCAGUGAAAAGGAUGCCAACAUAGCCUUGCUUGAACUGUCUGCUUCCAAGAAGAAGAAGACACAAGAGGAAGUAAUGACCCUGAAACGUGAAAAAGACCGACUGGUGCAUCAGUUGAAGCAGCAGACCCAGAACAGAAUGAAGUUGAUGGCUGACAAUUAUGAUGAAGACCAUCACCAUUACCAUCACCAUCACCACCAUCACCAUCACCGGUCUCCUGGGAGGUCCCAGCAUUCCAACCACAGACCCUCUCCAGACCAGGAUGAUGAGGAGGGUAUUUGGGCAUAACCGAUCCUAUAAACCAAAGUUCCAGUUU